ACUGCUCAGUAACACGUGGAUAACCUGCCCUUGGGUCCGGCAUAACCCCGGGAAACUGGGGAUAAUUCCGGAUAACGCAUAUAUGCUGGAAUGCUUUAUGCGUAAAAUGGAUUCGUCUGCCCAAGGAUGGGUCUGCGGCCUAUCAGGUAGUAGUGGGUGUAAUGUACCUACUAGCCGACAACGGGUACGGGUUGUGAGAGCAAGAGCCCGGAGAUGGAUUCUGAGACAUGAAUCCAGGCCCUACGGGGCGCAGCAGGCGCGAAAACUUUACAAUGCGGGAAACCGUGAUAAGGGGACACCGAGUGCCAGCAUCAUAUGCUGGCUGUCCAGGUGUGUAAACUACACCUGUUAGCAAGGGCCGGGCAAGACCGGUGCCAGCCGCCGCGGUAACACCGGCGGCCCGAGUGGUGAUCGUGAUUAUUGGGUCUAAAGGGUCCGUAGCCGGUUUGGUCAGUCCUCCGGGAAAUCUGACGGCUCAACCGUUAGGCUUUCGGGGGAUACUGCCAGGCUUGGAACCGGGAGAGGUAAGAGGUACUACAGGGGUAGGAGUGAAAUCUUGUAAUCCCUGUGAGACCACCUGUGGCGAAGGCGUCUUACCAGAACGGGUUCGACGGUGAGGGACGAAAGCUGGGGGCACGAACCGGAUUAGAUACCCGGGUAGUCCCAGCCGUAAACGAUGCUCGCUAGGUGUCAGGCAUGGCGCGACCGUGUCUGGUGCCGCAGGGAAGCCGUGAAGCGAGCCACCUGGGAAGUACGGCCGCAAGGCUGAAACUUAAAGGAAUUGGCGGGGGAGCA
rnacentral:rRNA from 1 species